rnacentral:rRNA from 1 species
GUAGGGAAUAUUGGGCAAUGGUCGGAAGACUGACCCAGCCAUGCCGCGUGCAGGAAGACGGCCCUCUGGGUUGUAAACUGCUUUUAUCUGGGAAGAAAAAGGCCAUGCGUGGCAAAUUGCCGGUACCAGAUGAAUAAGCACCGGCUAACUCCGUGCCAGCAGCCGCGGUAAUACGGAGGGUGCGAGCGUUGUCCGGAUUUAUUGGGUUUAAAGGGUGCGUAGGCGGCUGCGUAAGUCAGCGGUGAAAGACUUCGGCUUAACCGGAGCAGUGCCGUUGAUACUGGUUGGCUUGAGUGUCGGAGGGGUACAUGGAAUUGAUGGUGUAGCGGUGAAAUGCAUAGAUACCAUCAGGAACACCGAUAGCGAAGGCAUUGUACUGGCCGACAACUGACGCUGAUGCACGAAAGUGUGGGGAUCGAACAGGAUUAGAAACCCUAGUAGUCC